GACGAACGCUGGCGGCGUGCUUAACACAUGCAAGUCGAACGGAAAGGCCCUGCUUUUGUGGGGUGCUCGAGUGGCGAACGGGUGAGUAACACGUGAGUCACCUGCCCUUGACUUUGGGAUAACUUCAGGAAACUGGGGCUAAUACCGGAUAGGAGCUCCUGCUGCAUGGUGGGGGUUUGAAAGUUUCGGCGGUUGGGGAUGGACUCGCGGCUUAUCAGCUUGUUGGUGGGGUAGUGGCUUACCAAGGCUUUGACGGGUAGCCGGCCUGAGAGGGUGACCGGCCACAUUGGGAAUGAGAUACGGCACAGACUCCUACGGGAGGCAGCAGUGGGGAAUAUUGAACAAUGGGCGGAAGCAUGAUGCAGCAACGCCGCGUGCGGGAUGACGGCCUUCGGGUUGUAAACCGCUUUCGCCUGUGACGAAGCGUGAGUGACGGUAAUGGGUAAAGAAGCACCGGCUAACUACGUG
rnacentral:rRNA from 1 species